rnacentral:lncRNA from 1 species
GGAAAUUUAUGAACCUAGCUGUAUAUGCAAAUGUAUGAAAACACACGCAAAUUGGCCUCUAAGCCAAGCCCCCUGAGAAGGAAAUAUUCCUAUAUGAAUGAAUAUAUAUAUUUUUUGUUUGUCUGUUUGUUUGGGGGUAGUGGAGCUAGGGAUUGAACUUGGGCUCACACACACAAGGCAAGUGCUUUACCGCUGGGCUACACCCCUGGCCUCCAUAUUUUUUCAACCAGAUUACAACUCUGCUGUGUAUGUUGGUUUUCCUGUUCGUGACCUCGCUAGUAUGCCCUUCAUAGAGAUCCAGAGGCAAUUCCAACGUCAGCGACUGCAUGAGAGGGACCAAAGAGACCACACACACUGGCAGGCCCCUGAGCUUCCAGCAAAGUUCCCUGGCAGUGCGGCCUUAAACUCAGAGGUCCUCAGCAGAGGAUAAACACAAAGGACCACCCAAUCUUGGGCUUCCAGCCUCCAAACUUGUAACCUGAACAUACGGUAUGGACCUUCAAUUUCCCCCAAAUACCAACAUGUUCAAUACUUGAUCCUCAGCCUAUGGCUCAGCUGGGAAGUGGUGGGACCUUUAGUGGGUGGUGCCUAAUGGGAGGAAGUGAGGUCACUGGGGGAGUGGCCUUGGAGGUGAUCGUGGAACCAUGACCCUGCCUCUCUCUGCUUCCUGUUGCGGUUUAUAUCUAGAUUUCCCCCCAACACGUCAUGUGAUCAUAGGCAGGAUCUUCAGGAGGUGAGUGGAUUAUGGGGGUUUAUAGCUGGUUUGCUGUUAGGAGGUGGGGCCUGGUCGGAAGAGAUGGGUCAUUGUGGCUGUGACCCGGAAGGGUUUAUCUCCUCCCUUGACUCUCUUCAAUUCCUGUCUACAUUGCCAUGAGUAGCUUUCCUCCACCAUGCACUUCUGCCUUGCUGUCCUGCCUUGAAGUCAGCAAACCGUGGACUAUAAACAUGAGCCCAAAUGACCCGUCCUCCUUUACUUUAC